GCCAGCCACAUUUUAAAUGGUCUUUGAACUGUAAGGCUCUAGCAUCAGCUAGGCCUAGUUCCAUAUUUGUACUGCAGAUGAAUGCUGAAAUAACUAACAAGAUUUGCUCCAAAGGAUGAUUUGAGAAUCUAUUAUUGUAACUUGUACUUAUCUUUACUACUUUGGAGGUCUUUUGAUUUCUUUCAAAAUAUUGGGUCAUUCUGUUUCAU
rnacentral:misc_RNA from 1 species